rnacentral:lncRNA from 1 species
UCCAAUAUUAACUGCAUCCCCAGCUAGUAUGUUAUAGUGCCAUAGCCCAAAGUGCCACAAUACAUACGCUCUCCAAAAACAGUUACCACAUCCUGAAGAAGGAAUUGUAUGCUUUAAUAGCAAAGUAGAAUACUAAAGCCUUCUAAGCAUCUCCUUUUUAUGAGUGAUAUUGCUGACUUGACUACAAUCUUUUCUAAAAUGCUUCUUGAUAGCUAAUAGAUUUAAUUUUGUAAUUGUUGAAGGAAUCAACUCAAUUGCAAUUCGUUUUACAAAAUUUCACUAAAACUUUUAUACAUGUAUAUACAUAAAUAAUAUGUACUCAACCAUGUACUCUUAAUUAGACAGUCUCAAGGGUACAACUCUCUAGUAGUCUAUUUGGCAUCCCUAUUAGAGAUGUUAAGUGAAGUAACAUCUUAAAUAUGUUGAUUACAGGCCAAUAAAAUGGUUGCCCUUAUUCGUUAUGGUCAAAGCAAGAAAGAUUUUCCAGUCAUAGACUUCCUAUUUGUUGAGAGAGAUGAAGAGAGAAUAAAGUUUCCAACACUAUUCCUUUUACAUUACAUUAGUUGAUACAUAGUGAUUAAUGAAAGAACAGAAAUAGAUUUAGGAAGGUUGAAAUCAAUUAGUUCUCAACUUUAUUACAGGUUGUUUUACAUAGUGAAGAUAUGACAUGGGGGUUAUGCUUCAUGAAAAAUAAAGAUAUUUAUUAACCCAAUGCAGAAUUAAGGCGAGAAGCGACACUAGAGCGCCGGAGUCUCCUAUCACCUUAGGCAAGAGGCGAGAAGCCAGGACGGAGCCAAUUUUUAUUAUAUAUUUUAUAAAUAUACAUGUAUUUAUACAUAUAACGUAUCACCAACUAUAAUUUAUAUAUUUUAACUUUAACUAAAUAUUAAUUUAUUUAGUUACAUUAAAAUAUAUAAAAUAUAGUUGAUGAUACUCUAUGUUUAUAUACAAUGUAUAGAAGAUUAAUAUUAAUUUCUUAAUAUAUAUAUAUAAAGAAAAAUUAUAGUGAUUAUAAUUUAAUUAUUAUAAUUAUGAGUAAUAUAUAAUUAACUAUAAAUAAUUAAAUAAUAAUAAUAAAAUUAAUAAUUAAUUUAAGGGAGAAUUACUAUUUAGUCCCUUGAUCUUUAGGACUUUCAUUAGUUAGUCCCUAUAAUUCUUAAACCCAAUUAAAAUAUCCCUCAUUAUUUAUAAAUACAAUAAUUUAGUACUUCUGUUAACUUUUCUAUUAGUCAAAGAAAUUUACUAAUAGUCAAAUGAGCGAGACAAAUUUUAUCCUCAAAAUACCCCUAAAUAUUUCCAUUAAUCUUUUCCAGCCUUUUCACCCACUUAGAUUCAAGUAACAUAUCAUGCUUAAACGAAUCACUUUUUGUUCUCAAGGAUUCGAUUAUAGCAGAAAUGGCUUCUUCUCCACCAUUAUUUCGAAGGGCAAAGAGCAGCAUAGUGCUCAUACAUGACCUUUUCUUCAUCCAAAAGAGCUUCCUUUUUAAUUACUAACAUCAAUAAACAAUUUGACAAAUUAAUACAAAUGGCACGCCAAGAGCUUCUGACAAACUAAUACAAAUGGCACCAAGAGUUAACAUAUCUCAGCAUAUCAAACAGAAGAACAAGAAGAAGCUGGAGUGGCUGGGUCAACUGAUGUAAAGGGUGAUUUUUCAAUUCUAAAUUAUUCAUUACAAGUGCUUGCAACAUUCAUUUCCUCAAUUCGCUUGAGAGACAAUUACAAAUUUUCUCUAACCCUUUGACCUGGAUCUACAAAUAAACUAUUCUUUAAAAGAGAAAUAUUACUCUCUAAAUCAAUGGCACCAAGAACUUUUACAGCCUGUAAUGAAACAAUACAAUUUGCAUUUGGGUAUUAAACACUUAUUUAUAAAAGAGAAAAUAGAGACUAUAAUUUAAUAAAAAACCUAACUUCAUAACCAACAAUAGGAUGCAAAGAAAGACCAUUUAAAAUUGAUGCUAAAGUAGGUAUAGCUUCAAAAUCUUGCAUUUGACCCAAUGCAAAGGCUGCCUCGUGCUAGCAAAUUUGAAGAAUCCAUUGUUGCUAAAAUGGGGAGAAAAUUUUCUAAUAAAAGAAGAAAGAAGACAGAUGUGUCAAUGGACUGGAAAAGAACUAAGCAAUUCACUCAACAAAUUCUAAUUAGAGAAUAUUGCUUUGUUAGGGUUAGGGAUUGCAAGGUGAAUGUGUUAUUUAAAAGAGCGAUAAGGGCAUUUUUACUUUUCUACCUCAACUAACGGAACCUGUUAAGAUAAUUUAACAGAAGGACUAGAUUGUUAUAUUUAUGAAUAAUGAAUGGCAUUUUAAUUGGGCUUAAGAAUUAUAGGGAUCAACUAAUGAAUUUCUUAAAAAUUUAGGAACUAAAUAAUAAUUCUCCCUUAAUUAAAUAAUAAUAUUAACUAAUAAUAAAAUAAUAUAUAAAUUUCUAAGUUAUAUAUACUAUAUAAUAUAAUAAUCUAUAUGAUAAAUAAUAAUAUUAGUUGAUAUAGAAUAUAAAUAUAAAAUAUAAUUCUAAUAUAG